GUUAAGUCCCGCAACGAGCGCAACCCUUAUCCUUUGUUGCCAGCGGUCCGGCCGGGAACUCAAAGGAGACUGCCAGUGAUAAACUGGAGGAAGGUGGGGAUGACGUCAAGUCAUCAUGGCCCUUACGACCAGGGCUACACACGUGCUACAAUGGCAUAUACAAAGAGAAGCGACCUCGCGAGAGCAAGCGGACCUCAUAAAGUAUGUCGUAGUCCGGAUUGGAGUCUGCAACUCGACUCCAUGAAGUCGGAAUCGCUAGUAAUCGUAGAUCAGAAUGCUACGGUGAAUACGUUCCCGGGCCUUGUACACACCGCCCGUCACACCAUGGGAGUGGGUUGCAAAAGAAGUAGGUAGCUUAACCUUCGGGAGGGCGCUUACCACUUUGUGAUUCAUGACUGGGGUGAAGUCGUAACAAGGUAACCGUAGGGGAACCUGCGGUUGGAUCACCUCCUUACCUUAAAGAA
rnacentral:rRNA from 1 species